UACGAAGGGUGCUAGCGUUGUUCGGAAUUACUGGGCGUAAAGAGCGUCGGUAGGCGGUUAUACAAGUCAGGGGUGAAAUCCCAGAGACGUUAACUCUGGAACUGCCUUUGAAACUGUAUAGCUGGAGUGUGUGAGGGGAUAGCGGAAUUCUUAAUGUAGAGGUGAAAUUCGUAGAUAUUAAGAGGAACACCGGUGGCGAAGGCGGCUAUCUGGCACACAACUGACCGCUG
rnacentral:rRNA from 1 species